AAUGGCUCAGUGAAGGCGUUCGGACUGGCCCAGAGAGGUGGGCAACUACCACUCAGGGCCGGAAAGUUCUCCAAACUCGGUCAUUUAGAGGAAGUAAAAGUCGUAACAAGGUACUCCGUUGGUGAACCAGCGGAGGGAUCAUUAUCCGAGUUAUACAACUCAUCAACCCUGUGAACAUACCUAUAACGUUGCCUCGGCGGGAACAGACGGCCCCGUAACACGGGCCGCCCCCGCCAGAGGCACCCCCUAACUCUGUUUCUAUAAUGUUUCUUCUGAGUAAACAAGCAAAUAAAUUAAAACUUUCAACAACGGAUCUCUUGGCUCUGGCAUCGAUGAAGAACGCAGACGAAAUGCGAUAAGUAAUGUGAAUUGCAGAAUUCAGUGAAUCAUCGAAUCUUUGAACGCACAUUGCGCCCGCCAGUAUUCUGGCGGGCAUGCCUGUUCGAGCGUCAUUACAACCCUCAGGCCCCCGGGCCUGGCGUUGGGGAUCGGCGGAAGCCCCCUAGCGGGCACAACGCCGUCCCCCAAAUACAGUGGCGGUCCCGCACGCAGCUUCCAUUGCGUAGUAGCUAACACCUCGCAACUGGAGAGCGGCGCGGCCACGCCGUAAAACACCCAACUUCUGAAUGUUGACCUCGAAUCAGGUAGGAAUACCCGCUGAACUUAAGCAUAUCAAUAAGCGGAGGAAAAGAAACCAACAGGGAUUGCCCCAGUAACGGCGAGUGAAGCGGCAACAGCUCAAAUUUGAAAUCUGGCUCUCGGGCCCGAGUUGUAAUUAGUAGAGGAUGCUUUUGGUGAGGUGCCUUCCGAGUUCCCUGGAACGGGACGCCAUAGAGGGUGAGAGCCCCGUCUGGUGGACACCGAUC
rnacentral:rRNA from 1 species